rnacentral:rRNA from 1 species
CCCUUAGACACUCUAGGCGGCACGCGCGCUACAAUGGGUGGAAGAACGUGUUACUGCCUCCGAAAGGAGGGGUGAAUCACGAAUUCUUGCCCGUGAAUGGGAUAGUUUGUUGCAAUUUUCGGACUUGAACUAGGAAUCCCUUGUAAACAUGCUCAAGAAUAGCGUGUUGAAUACGUCCCUGCCGUUUGUACACACCGCCCGUCGUUUCUUCCGACUGAUACUCAUUGUGAGUUGCAAGGACCCUUUAUUGGGAAAUUGCUGCAAAUGCUUUGUAUUGGAGGAAGAAAAAGUCGUAACA